rnacentral:SRP_RNA from 1 species
GGCAGGCAUGGUGGCGCAUGCCUGUAAUCCCAGCUACUCGGGAGGCUGAGACAGGAGAAUCGCUUGAACCCGGGAGGUGGAGGUUGUGGUGAGCCGAGAUCGCACCACUGCACUCCAGCCUGGGUGACAGAGUGAGAUUCUGUCUCAA